rnacentral:rRNA from 1 species
CCUACGGGAGGCAGCAGUGAGGAAUAUUGGUCAAUGGACGCGAGUCUGAACCAGCCAAGUAGCGUGAAGGAUGACUGCCCUAUGGGUUGUAAACUUCUUUUAUAUGGGAAUAAAGUGUUCCACGUGUGGCUUUUUGUAUGUACUUUAUGAAUAAGGAUCGGCUAACUCCGUGCCAGCAGCCGCGGUAAUACGGAGGAUCCGAGCGUUAUCCGGAUUUAUUGGGUUUAAGGGGAGCGUAGGUGGGUUGUUAAGUCAGUUGUGAAAGUUUGCGGCUCAACCGUAAAAUUGCAAUUGAUACUGGCAGUCUUGAGUACAGUAGAGGUAGGCGGAAUUCGUGGUGUAGCGGUGAAAUGCUUAGAUAUCACGAAGAACUCCGAUUGCGAAGGCAGUCCACUAAACUGCCACUGACAUUGAUGCUCGAAAGUGUGGGUAUCAAACAGGAUUAGAUACCCGAGUAGUC